UGUCAUCACUAUAUAAUCAUGAUUAUCUUUAUAACUAUCUGAUGAUUUGACUCUAAUCAAGGUGGGUCAUUAUCUUUUAUGAAAUCAAAAGCUUUACCAUAGUAUUUAUGUCAAAUUCAAUUCAAACUCGAAUCCAAAUAUGAUUAAUUUUAAUAAUUGAUCUUACUAUGAGGUUUUUACAUCUAAUCAACCCCAAUCCAAUCUUGAAUAGACAUGCAUUUAUAUCACGAUGAUGAUUUCGAUCUUAGACUCUUGAUCACUUAUUUAGUGCUAAUCUUGUUAGUCUAUAUCUUAAUCAUGAAUGUGAUGGAAGGCUUUUUAUAAUUAAUCCAAAUAGGAUAAUCAUUGAUUUUAAUCAAGAAAAGACAAGAUCUUGAAUUAUAUAUUAUUUAAAAGGUAAAAUUCUUGAGUUGGGUCAGAAGUUUUGAGUUGUAAAGCAUUCUUGGGAAGUAUCUAUGCUUCAAUAUAGAAAUAUAUAUGUUCAUUAUUUUUGAUCUGAGUGAUUGGGUUACUUGCAGGCAUU
rnacentral:lncRNA from 1 species